UGGCGGCAGGCUUAAGACAUGCAAGUCGAGCGGUAGCAGAUCUAGCUUGCUAGAUGCUGACGAGCGGCGGACGGGUGAGUAACGCGUAGGAACCUGCCCAGUAGUGGGGGAUAGCCCGGGGAAACUCGGAUUAAUACCGCAUACGCUCUACGGAGGAAAGAGGGGGCUUCGGCUCUCGCUAUUGGAUGGGCCUGCGUGAGAUUAGCUAGUUGGUGAGGUAAUGGCUCACCAAGGCGACGAUCUCUAGCUGGUCUGAGAGGAUGAUCAGCCACACUGGGACUGAGACACGGCCCAGACUCCUACGGGAGGCAGCAGUGGGGAGUAUUGCACAAUGGGCGCAAGCCUGAUGCAGCCAUGCCGCGUGUGUGAAGAAGGCUUUCGGGUUGUAAAGCACUUUCAGUGGGGAGGAAGGCCUCGUAGUUAAUAGCUGCGAGGAUUGACGUUACCCACAGAAGAAGCACCGGCUAACUCCGUG
rnacentral:rRNA from 1 species